rnacentral:lncRNA from 1 species
AAAAAAAAUCUUCUAUGUGGAGAUAGAUUUGUGUUAGGACUUGAAACUUGAAACCUAUAUGGUGAAAAAUGUAACAAAUCUUGUAAAACGAGAGUGGUUUGAUGUUGAUGGUAAUUUUUCAUACACCUUAUCAGGGGCGAAUCCAGCCAUUUAAAAAAGGGGGGGUCCAACUAUAUGUCCCCAUUCCAAUGCAUUGAUCGUAAAAAAAGGUGGGUUCCAACCCCCCUGAACCCUCCCCUGGAUCCGCCACUGCACCUUAUCACUAUUUGUCCGCCACUGCACCUUAUCACUAUAUGUCCGCCAUUACUGGAUAUCACACAGGUUGUAGUAAAAUUUUGAAGUAAAAAAAAAAUAUCUGAAGUCACAAAGGAAAAAUGAUUGUCAUGAUUGUUGUAUUCGUCAAAAGUUCUAUGCAGUCGGGUCAGCCGGGGUUACCAAUAAUUAAGUAGUAUUCAAUAUGAUAGAUAAUUGUUAUAUAUCUAGGACCUCACUUGAUUUAUCUUUUCUGUCACUUUAUGAUAUUGGUCGAGGGUGAUGCCGCAUAUGAUACGGAUUUUGCCAUGUUUUAUACGCUCUAUCAUAUAUUUCACCAGACUUUAUAUAUCUGUCACCAUACUUUAUAUAUCUGUCACCACACUUUAUAUAUCUGUCACCAGACUUUAUAUAUCUGUCACCACACUUUAUAUAUCUGUCACCACACUUUAUAUAUAUCUGUCACCAGACUCUGUCACCACACUUUAUAUAUCUAUCACCAUACUUUAUAUUCUGUCACCACACUUUAUAUAUCUGCCACCACACUUUAUAUAUCUGUCACCAAACUUUCUAUAUCUGUCACCAGACUUUAUAUAUCUGUCACCUGACUUUAUAUAUCUGUCUACACUUGACAUAUCCAUUUCCACACUUUAUAUGUCUAUCACUACUUUAUAUAUCUGUCACCACACUUUAUAUUCUGUCACCACACUUUAUAUAUCUGCCACCUCACUUUAUAUAUAUAUCUGUCACCUACUUUCUAUAUCUGUCACCACACUUUAUAUAUCUGUCACCACUUUAUAUUCUGUCACCACACUUUAUAUAUCUGUCACCACACUUUGUAUAUCUAUCACCACACUUUAUAUAUCUGUCAUUACACUUGACAUAUCCAUCACCACACUUUAUAUCUCUAUCACCACUUUAAAUAUCUGUCACAUGACUUUAUAUAUCUAUCACCACACUAUAUAUAUCUAUCACCAUACUUUAUAUAUCUGUCACCACACUUCAUAUAUCAAUCAGCACACUUUAUAUAUCUCUCAUUACACUUUAUAUAUCUAUCACCAUACUUUAUAUAUCUGUCACCACACUUUAUAUAUCUGUCACCACACUUCAUAUAUCUGUCAUUAUACUUAACAUAUCCAACACCACACUUUAUAUAUAUCCAUAAUGUCUUUAUAUAUCUAUCACCCCACUUUAUAUAUCUGUCACCACACCUUAUAUAUCUGUCACCACACUUAACAUAUCCAUCACCACACUUUAUAUAUCAAUCACCUCACUAUAUAUAUCUAUCACCUCACUUUAUAUAUCUAUAAUUACACUUUAUAUAUCAAUCAACACACUUUAUAUAUUUAUCACCACACUUUACAUAUCUGUCACCACACUUUAUAUAUCUGUCACCACACUUUAUAUAUAUCUGUCACCAGACUCUGUCACCACACUUUAUAUAUCUGUCACCACACUUUGUAUAUCUAUCACCACACUUUAUAUAUCUGUCAUUACACUUGACAUAUCCAUCACCACACUUUAUAUAUCUAUCACUACUUUAGAUAUCUGUCACCACACUUUAUAUUCUGUCACCACACUUUAUAUAUCUGCCACAACACUUUCUAUAUCUGUCACCACACUUUAUAUAUCUGUCACCAAACUUUAUAUACCAGUCACCACACUUUAUAUAUCUGUCACCAUACUUUAUAUUUCUGUCACCACACUUUAUAUAUCUGUCACCACUCUUUGUAUAUCUAUCACCACACUUUUUAUAUCUGUCAUUACACUUGACAUAUCCAUCACCACACUUUUUAUAUCUAUCACCACUUUAUAUCAAUCAGCACACUUUAUAUAUCAAUCAGCACACUUUAUAAAUCUAUCACCAUACUUUAUAUAUCUGUCACCACACUUUAUAUAUCUAUCACCAUACUUUAUAUAUCUGUCACCACACUUUAUAUAUCUGUCACCAAACUUUAUAUAUCUGUCAUUAUACUUAACAUAUCCAUCACCACACUUUAUAUAUUCAUAAUGUCACUAUAUAUCUAUCACCCCACUUUAUAUAUCUGUCACCACACCUUAUAUAUCUGUCACAACACUUAACAUAUCCAUCACCACACUUUAUAUAUCAAUCACCUCACUAUAUAUAUCUAUCACCUCACUUUAUAUAUCUAUAUUUACACUUUAUAUAUCAAUCAACACACUUUAUAUAUAUUUCACCACACUUUAUAUAUCUAUCACCACUUUAUAUAUCUGUCACAAGACUUUAUAUAUCUGUCACCACACUUUAUAUAUCUAUCACCAUACUUUAUAUAUCUGUCACCACACUUUAUAUAUCUGUCAUUAUACUUAACAUAUCCAUCACCACACUUUAUAUAUCCAUAAUGUCACUAUGUAUCUAUCACCCCACUUUAUAUAUCUAUCACCACACUUUAUAUAUAUAUCACAACACUUUAUAUAUCUGUCACCACACUUUAUAUAUCUGUCACAACACUCUAUAUAUCUGUCACCAGAAUUUAUAUAUCUAUCACCACACUUUAUAUAUCUGUCACCACACUUAACAUAUCCAUCAUCACCCUUCAUAUAUCAAUCACCUCACAAUAUAUAUUUAUCACCUCACUUUAUAUAUCUAUCAUUACACUUUAUAUAUCUGUCACCAGACUUUAUAUAUCUGUCACCAGACUUUAUAUAUCUAUACCCACACUUUACAUAUCUGUCACCACGCUUUAAAAAUCUAUCACAACACUUUAUGUAUCUGUCAUCAAACCUUAUAUACCUGUCACAAGACUUUAUAUAUCUAUCACCACACUUUAUUUAUCUGUUACCACACUUUAUAUAUUCAUCACCACACUUUAUUUAUCUGUUACCACACUUUAUAUAUCUCACCAAACUUUAUAUAUGUGUCACAAUAUUUUAUAUAUAUGUCACCACACUUUAUAUAUCUGCCACCACACUUCAUAAAUCUUUCACCACGCUUUUAACAUCUGUCACCACACAUUAUAUAUACAUCACCACACCUUAUACACAUCACCACACCUUAUAUAUAUAUAUAUAUAUAUCACCACACUUUAUAUAUCUGUCACCAGACUUCAUAAAUCAAUCACCACACCUUAUAUAUCUGUCACCACACUUUAUAUAUCUGUCAUCAGACUCUGUCACCACACUUUAUAUAUCAGUCACUAUACUCUGUCACCACACUUUAUAUAUCUGUCACCAGACUCUGUCACCACACUUUAUAUAUCCACCACCUCACUACAUAUAUAUCUAUCACCUCACUUGAUAUAUAUUUUACUCCAUUAUUUAUGACUUUAUAAAUCUAUCACCACACUACAUAUAUCUGUCUCCAUACUUUAUAUAUCUGUCACUACACUUAACAUAUCCAUGAUCACACUUAACAUAUCCAUGAUCACACUUUAUAUAUCACUCACCUCACUAUAUCUAUAUCUAUCUAUCUACUCACUUUAUAUAUCUGUAACAACACUCUAUAUAUCUGUCACCACACUUUAUUUUUAUCCACCAGACCUUAUCUGUCACCACACUUAACAUAUACAUCAUCACACUUUAUAUAUCAAUCACUUCACAAUAUAUAUCUAUCACCUCACUUUAUAUAUCUAUCACUACACUCUAUAUAUCUGUCACCAGACUUUAUAUAUCUAUCCCAACACUUUAUAUAUAUAUCACUACACUCUAUAUAUCUGUCACUAGACUUUAUAUAUAUAUCACCACACUUUAUAUAUCUGUCACCAUACUUAACAUAUAUAUCACCAAACUUUAUAUAUCAAUCACCUCACUAUAUCUAUAUCUAUCACCACACUUUAUAUAUCUACCUCCACAUCUAAUAUAUCAAUCACCUCACUUUCUAUAUCGAUCACCACACCUUAUAUAUCAAUCACCUCACUUUAGACAUUUGUAAGUACACUUUAUAUAUCUUAUCACCACUUUAUGUAUCUAUCACCACAUUUCUAUAUCUAUCACCACACUUAUAUAUCCAUCACCUCUCUUUGUACAUCUGUUUCUACACUUUACAUAUCUAUAAUCUUACUUUCUUUAUCUAUCACCUCACAUUCUUUAUCUAUCAUCUCACUUUCUUUAUCUAUCACCUCACUUUUUUUAUUUAUCACCUCAAUUUAUAUAUCCAUCACCUCGUAUGAUAUAGCCAUCACCACAGUCUAUAUAUUUAUCACCUAACAUGAUAUCUUCACUUCAUUUAUCUAUCACCACCUUCUAUAUACAUAUCACCUCAAUUCAAUUUAUUUUUUUCUAUCCCCAUACUUAAUAUGUUUGGUAUAUUCUCUUACUGUAUAAGGCUAUCACAACUCUAUGUGUAUCUGUUAAAACCAUGUUUAUACCAAUUUGAAAGUGGAUAUAAGCAUACUAACGAUUGAUUUAUAUUUGCAGCAAUCUGUGUAUGUUUGCUGAAAACUAAAAAUGAUUCAGUUCGGCACCUAUCAUUGUAACUAUUUGUUUUUCAACAUGGUUGAUUUUGUUGCACAAUCAUACACAUUUCAAUUUUGAAAACUAUUAUUGUCAUCGUAGAAAAGACUGGUGUUUGUGUGUGUAUCUUUUCAGAAAAUGGGUGGGAUUCUUAUUGCUAUAUAGAGAUAUUUGAAAAACAAACAGAACAUAUUAAAGCACACCACAUGACUGAUAUCUGGAUAGUAUAUAAAUACAGCCUAGCGAUAUAUGUAGGACUGUAUCUGUAGGACACCAAAUUGAGGAAUAGAUAUCUAUGACCACACUCUACAUAUCUAUCACCACUCUGUAUAAUUAAUAACCUUACUGUAUAUAUCUAUCACCACUCUGUAUCAUCAAUCACCAAACUGAAUAUAUUUUUCACCACUCUGUAUCAUCAGUCACUAUAUUGUUUAUCUCUAUCACCAUACUAGACAUCUAUCCCCACUCUGUAUCACCAAUUACCACACUGUAUAUAGCUAUCACCUCUCUGUAUAUAUCUAUCACCACUUCUCUAUCACCACACUAGACAUCUAUCCCCACUCUGUAUCACCAAUUACCACACUGUAUAUAGCUAUCACCUCUCUGUAUGUAUCUAUCACCACUCUGUUUCAUCAAUCCUCAUAGUGUAUAUAUCUUUCACCACUCUGUAUCAUCAAUCACCCUACCCUUUAUAUGUAUCACCACUGUGUAUUACCUUUCAACACUCUGUAUCAUCAAUCACUUCACUGUAUAUAUAUAUUACCACUCUGUGUCAUCAAUUAUCACACUGUAUAAUAAUCACUCUGUCAUUAAUCACCUUACUUUAUAUAUCUAUCAUCACACUGUAUAUAUUUAUCACCACACUAUAUACAACUUUCACCUAACUCAUCAUAUGUCAAAACAACUUAUGUAUCUAUCACCACACUUUAUAUAUCUAUCAUCAAACUUUAUAUAUCUAUCAUCACACUUUAUACAUCUAUCACCUACCUGAUCAUAUGUGACAACACUUUAUAUAUCUAUCACCACACUGUAUAUAUGUCACCACACUUUGUAUAUCUAUCACUUCAUUCUAUAUAAGAAAGACCUCAUUUAAUUGAUACACCAUCUCAGUUUAUAUAUCUAUCAUCUUAUUUAAUAUAUCUAUCAAUACACUGUACAUCUAUCACUACAUUUUAUACAUAUAUCACCACACUGUGUAUCUGUUACCACAAUUUGUAUAUCUAUCAUCUCACUUUAUAUAUCUUUCUAUUAAAUUUAUAUAUCUAUUUCCUCAUUUUAUAUAUAUAUGACAUCCCUGAAAAUAUUUUAUUGACCUCACUGUUGAUAUUUUUUCACCAUAUUUUAUAUAUGUAUCCCCUCCACAUAUGUCAUGUAUGUAUCUUUUAACUAACUGCACUGUUUAAAUCAAUCACAACACCAUUGAUAUAUAUGUCACCACAUAGUAUAUAUAUAUAUUUUACAGAUCUAACAUUGUUGGAUUGAUGUUUAGAUGAGUUGUAUAUACAUUAUGUACACAGCCAUGUAUCACCAUCAUUGAUGGCGAUCCGAUGGAUUAAUCUGUUGGAAAGUUGUCACUGACUCAGACGUACUUAUAUAUAUAUCAGCAGGGUUAAAGAACAUCAGUUGUUCGACCUGUUAGUCAAAUGCGUUUUGUUUAAAAAUACUUUUUCACUUUGUUGGUCUUUUGGAAAAUGUUGUUUGUGCUGUUUUUAGACCCUUCUACAACGAAAUUUGUUUGACAUGCACACGUAUAAAAAUUGCGGUUUUUAUCCAACGCAAUCAUAGGUUUGAACGUAGUUUUCAAUUUAGACUCGUUUAUAUAUAUAUAUAUAUAUAUAUAUAUAUAUCAUCCUUUUGUUUAUAUAUCAUCACACUGUAUAUAUCUUAAUACUAUUCUGUGGACCCUUUACCUCACUGUAUAUACACAUAACCCCACUAUAACUAAGUCCACACUUAUCACCUAUCUAUAUAUAUUUAUCACCAUCAUAUCAUAUUUAUAGUAACACAAUGAUUAUAUCUAUCAUCAUUCUUUAUCUAUUUUUCACAAGACUGUAUACUAUAACUUGUUGUAUUUUCUCUAAGUCAGAGAAAUGUACUGGUCAUUGUAUAAUUUGCAGUGGAAGGAGAUAUGCAGAUAUGCAAUGUCCACUGAGAUAUGUUUGUAUAAGCUUGUAUACUUGUUAUGUAGCAAUUAUCAAAUUCAUUAUUUAUAUUUGUGUUCUUCUUGCAGAAAUACCAAACAACAUUUUGCAGGGAUUUAGAGGUCAUUGGUGAAAAUGGAAAAAAGGAAAUGGUUCAUCUAAUUUUAAGUGAAAUAACAAGAAUAGUUAAAUGAUUUACAACCAAGCAGCACUCAGAAAUAGUGAUGGUAAAGUAUUUUUAGAAAAUAAUACUCGAAAAAAGAUAUAUACAGUGUGGUGCUUUAUAAAUUAUAUAUUCUUCCAUUGCUACAGUCGCUGUAUUUAGCACCACAUUCUUCAUAUAUAUCACAACAGUCUCAAUAGGGACCCCCAUACUAUGAUUAUCUAUCACUACAGUCUCAAUAGCUAUCCCCAUACAAUGAUUAUCUAUCACUAGUCUCAAUAGCUAUCCCCAUUCUAUGAUUAUCUAUCACUACAGUCUUAAUAGCUAUCCCCAUACUAUGAUUGUCUAUCACUACACUCUCCAUACCAAUGCCAACAGUCAUUAUGUAUAUAUCAUAAUAGUAUCAUAAUAUUCUCUAUGUAUAUCUCGGGAUAAUACAAACGCUACCCCCUUACUUUAUUUAUCAAUCACCUCACUUCAUAUAUUAAUCACCACACUCUCUAUAUAUAUCCCCAACUCUCUGUAUCCGCCCCAAAAGUCUCUCUGUAUAUCUCCACAAAAUAAACACCUAUCAUCUUACUUUAUUUAUCAAUCACCUCACUAUAUGUAUCAAUCACCACUCACACACUCUCUAUAUCUAUCCCCCACUCUUUUUUGUAUACCCCAAAAGUCUCUCUGUAUAACUCCACAUAAUAAACACCUAUCACCUAACUUUAUUUAUCAAUCACCUCACUUUAUGUAUCAAUCACCACACUCUAUAUAUAUCCACAACUCUCUAUAUUCGCCCUAAAAGUCUCUAUGUAUAUUUCCACAAAAUAAACAACUAUCAUCUUACUUUAUUUAUCAAUCACCUCACUAUAUGUAUCAAUCACCACUCACACACUCUCUAUAUCUAUCCCCCACUCUUUUUUGUGUACCCCAAAAGUCUCUCUGUAUAUCUUCAUAUAAUAAACACCUAUCACCACACUUUAUUUAUCAAUAACCUCACUUUAUAUAUCAAUCAACACACUCUUUAUAUAUAUCCCCAUAAUCUCUGUGUCACUCACCACACUGUCAAUAUCUAUACCCACAGUCUCUAUGUUUUUGACCACAUUAUCAACACCUAUCACCUUACUUUAUUUAUCCAUCACCUCCCUUUAUAUAUUUAUCACCACACACUUACUAUAUAUAUCCCCAUACUCUCGAUAUGUAUUCCCACAGUCUCUAUGUUUAUGACCACAUCAUAAACACCUACCACCUUACUUUUUUUAAUCAAUCACCUCACUUUAUACAUGAAUCACCACACACUCUCUAUAUCUAUCCCCAAACUCUCAAUAUCUACCCCCAUAGUCUCUAUGUUUAUGACCAAAUAACAAACACCAAUCACUUUACUUUAUUUAUCCAUCAUCUAAUUUUAUAUAUCAAUCACCACACACUCUCUAUAUCUAUCCCCAUACUCUCAAUAUAUAUCCCCACAGUCUCUAUGUUUAUGACCACAUUUUAAACACCUAUCACCUUACUUUAUUUAUUCAUCACCUCACUUAAUAUAAUGAUCACCACACACUCUCUAUUUCUAUCCCAAUACUUUCAAUAUCUAUCCCCACAGUCUCUAUGUUUAUGACCUCACAAUAAACACCUAUCACCUCAUUUUAUUUAUCCAUCACCUCACUUUAUAUAUCAAUCACCACACACUCUCUAUAUUUAUCCCCAAACUCUCAAUAUCUAUCCCCAUAGUCUCUAUGUUCAUGACCAAAUAACAAACACCAAUCACUUUACUUUAUUUAUCCAUCAUCUGAUUUUAUAUAUCAAUCACCACACACUCUCUAUAUCUAUCCCCAUACUCUCAAUAUCUAUCCCCAUUGUCUCUAUGUUUAUGACCACAUCAUAAACACCUAUCACCUCAUUUUAUUUAUCCAUCACCUCACUUUAUAUAUCAAUCACCACACACUCUCAAUAUCUAUCCCCAUACUCUCAAUAUCUAUCCCCAAUGUCUCUAUGUUUAUGACAACAUCAUAAACACCUAUCACCUCAUUUUAUUUAUCCAUCACCUCACUUUAUAUAUCAAUCACCACACACUCUCUAUUUCUAUUACCCCUUCUCUAUAUCUACCCCCACAGUCUCUAUGUAUAUUUCUACAUAUUAAACACCUUUACUUUAUUAAUCAAUCACCUCACUGUAUAUUUUCACCUCAAUUUAUAUAUUAUUUCUAUCACACCACUGGGUAUACCUUUCAAAGCCCUAUUUAUAUCAUUUUAAAAGUAGAUAUGAGCAUGAUAAUAAUCCACCUUUCUGUACAGAAAUCUGUUUAUGUUUAUUCAGAUUUUAAACUAAAAAUGACUCAAUUGUUAUUAUUUUUUUUUCUUCAGAAAAGUGAAACUAGAUUUUUGAAAGAUAGAACAUAGAAGAAAAAGGAAAAGGUAAUCUUCAUUAAAAUUAAAAGUAUUACUCAUAGUUAUCAAAGGUACCAGGAUUAUAAUUUAGUACGCCAGACGCAAGUUUCGUUUCUACAUAAGACUCAUCAGUGACGCUCAUAUCAAAAUAGUUAAAAAUCAAACAAAUACAAAGUUGAAGAGCAUUGAGGAUCCAAUAUUCCAAAAGUUGUGCCAAAUACGACUAAGGUAAUUUAUGCCUGGGAUAAGAAAAUUCUUAGUUUUUUCGAAAAAUUCAAAGUUUUGUAAACAGGAAAUUUAUAAAAAAUGACCAAAUAAUUGAUAUUCAUGUCAACACCGACACUUUACUCUUUACAUAUGUAUGUAAAGAGUUAAUAAGCAAUUAAACAAUCCUGGUUGAAAUGAAAUAAUUUAAAAGAAAUGUUUUUUAAAGAAUAACUGCUCCAACAUAUCGUGCAAUAUUUUAUGUAAAUAUCAUGUCAGAUAUCUUUUCAAUAAAAGUAGCAAAUAUGGUAUACUAACUGUCAGUCAAAGAUUCUAUCAUUCAAGAUGAGUAAACCUUAAAAAUAUAUUGUUUCAGUGUUAUUGUACUUGUAACUAUGUCUACAUGAUACUUCUGCUGGCACACACAUAAUGUAUAUACCACCACAUAUUAUGUAUCUACUGCAACACAUAGUAUAAUUAUGGCCACAUAUAAUAUAUCUACCGCCACACAUAAUCAAUCACCACACUACAUAAGUCAUUCACCACAGUCUGUGUAUUUAUCACCACAAUAUUUUUGUCUAUCACCACACUAUUGUCUAUCACGACACUAUGUGUUGUCUGUCACCACGCUAUGUUUGUCUAUCACCACAAUUUGUUUGUCUAUCACUUCAGUAUGUUUGUCUAUCACCACACUAUUGUCUAUCACCAUGCUUUGUUUACCUAUCACCAUGCUUUGUUUACCUAUCACCACACUAUGUAUGUCUAUCACUUCGGUAUGUUUGUCUAUCACAACACUAUAUAUUUUAAUCAUCACAGUUUACAUAUUCACCAACACAUUCUUAUUACCAAUACUUGAUAAAAAGAAAUAGUUAUGAUGAAGCCUUGUUUUCUCUCACAUUGUCAUUUCAUAAAACAAAAAGGUAAAUCAUUUGAGUCAUGGUUCUGUGUAAAGUCAUUACUAAAGAAAAAAAUAAUUUUAACUUUUCAUUUAAAUGAUUGGUCUCACAAAUGAAUUGUAUUUCUGCAUUACAAAUUUUACAAUUUGAUACAAUCUUGGGAUUAUGUUCUGUUUUUGCACUGAUGAAACACGCUUUAUUCUUAGAUGGAAAAUAAAUAACAACUGUUUGAGGCAUUGAAAUUCUGUAUUGUAUUGGACUAAUUAUAUAUUCAACUGAACCAUAUAUUAUUUUGUAGGUUAAACAAGAUUUAGUGCCGGCCACACAAUUAAGAAAGAAUACGAACAAGAAUUCUUUACAGAACAGGGGAGACUAUUUUACUGUGCUUAGAUCUGUGUUUUUGUUAUAAUUAAUUAAUAUUGUAAUUUGUUCUUGGAUAAAAUAUCUGCAAUGUGGAGGACAACUGAACUGUGUUCUUAUAUAUUGAAGACGUGCAAUGAUUUAAAAUGCAUUUAAGAUGAACUUUUUACUACUCGGAAAAUGGUUAUCAUUAAAGAAACAAACAUAGAAUUCAUUUACAUGAAUACAUUUUAUGUUCUAUGUAUAAAAUGUUAUCUAAAAGGUGAAAGUAAACAGAUUCCUGGCUGUUUAAAAUCAAAUCAAAGCAGUUUUAUUGUGUAGUUAAGAAUGUGUAUACGUUGUUCAUGCAUUUAUGUAUUUGAAUAUUUAGAAUUGUACAAUGUAUUGAGUUUAGUGGAUCUUUCAUUCUAUGUUAUUUAGGUUUGAUUUUCAUGAAAUAAA